AGAGAGGUAGGAAAUAAAAAGGGGAAGAUGGGGAGAGACCACAGGGAGCAAAGAAAGGUAGGAAAUAAAAAGAGGGAAUACUGAGAGAGACCACAGGGAGCAGAGAGAGGUAGGAAGCAUAAACGGGAAGAUGAGGAGAGACCACAGGAAGCAGAGAGAGGUAGGAAAUAAAAAGGGGAAGAUGGGGAGAUACCACAGGGAGCAGAGAAAGGUAGGAAAUAAAAAGAGGGAAUACUGGGAGAGACCACAGGGAGCAGAGAGAGGUAGGAAAUAAAAAGGGGAAGAUGGGGAGAGACCACAGGAAGCAGAUAGAGGUAGGAAAUAAAAAGGGGAAUACUGGGAGAGACCACAGGGAGCAGAGAGAG